rnacentral:rRNA from 1 species
UAGUCCACGCCGUAAACGAUGGUUACUAGCUGUUCGGUAUUUAUACUGAGUGGCUAAGCGAAAGUGAUAAGUAACCCACCUGGGGAGUACGUUCGCAAGAAUGAAACUCAAAGGAAUUGACGGGGGCCCGCACAAGCGGUGGAGCAUGUGGUUUAAUUCGAUGAUACGCGAGGAACCUUACCAGGGCUUAAAUGUAGUGGGACAGGCUGAGAAAUCGGCCCUUCUUCGGACUCAUUACAAGGUGCUGCAUGGUUGUUGUCAGCUCGUGCCGUGAGGUGUCAGGUUAAGUCCUAUAACGAGCGCAACCCCUGUUGUUAGCUGCCAGCGAGUCAUGUCGGGAACUCUAACAAGACUGCCAGUGCAAACUGUGAGGAAGGUGGGGAUGACGUCAAAUCAUCACGGCCCUUACGUCCUGGGCUACACACGUGCUACAAUGGUAGGUACAGAGGGCAGCCACUGCGUGAGCAGGAGCGAAUCCUUAAAACCUAUCUCAGUUCGGAUCGG